rnacentral:piRNA from 1 species
UAAUAAGGUCUGUGCAUUCUCUGUCCCAC